AUACUUACCUGGCAGGGGAGAUACCGUGAUCACGAAGGUGGUUUUCCCAGGGCGAGGCUUAUCCAUUGCACUCCGGAUGUGCUGACCCCUGCAAUUUCCCCAAAUGUGGGAAACUUGACAGCAUAAUUUGUGGUAGUGGGGACUGCGUUCGUGCUUUCCCCUG
rnacentral:snRNA from 1 species